CAGAAGAGAACAACUUUAAAGAUUACAACAAGAACCAAGUGCUCCUUUGCACAGGGACUUUUCCGGAAGGAUUGAAGAGAGAAAACCACGUGGACCUGAUGCCGUUGGACUAGCCUUCAGUUCUGCCGUUGGCUCUGGAGUGUGACAAUGGUGUUUGUGUAAAGUGAAAUCAAACGCCAUUAUCACACUAAAUAGCUCGGGUGGGAAUCAGCUGCACACAGGCCUAUUCUGCACAAAAUCUCCCCAAUCCCACCUAUUCGGUCGCUUUCAUCCGACGCGGGAACGUUAAUUUUUCACCAAACAAUGAAACUGAAGCGUGCUGUUCAGCAAAGCAAUUACACUCUGGAUACCGAUAAGAAGACCUGCUUAGUCUCGUAUUUAAACCAAGCCCUCCGUUAUUACUCGUUUACCCUCGUCUAUUUGUAAAUGAUUCUAAAACCACAGCUUACCUUCAGAGUUUAAGGUGCUUCUAUGGCGAGAAAUAAAUUGAUGUAAUUACAGAAAAUGAUCGGUAAAACCAAAUGACUUCCUUGCCA